CGGAGGUUAGGCGUACAUAGCUGAUUUGGUCAUUA
rnacentral:rRNA from 1 species